rnacentral:lncRNA from 1 species
CACCAAUUUGCCAAAUGUAAACACUUUGGCUCUCACAGAGUUUUGGGGUGGUAGAUUUAGAUGACUUUGGAAGUAAAUACAUCUUAGCUCCUGGCAGGCAAACCAACAACGGUUUGUGUGAGGUUGAAUCUCUGUAGGGGGUGGACUUCUCUGAGACCUUAAUAUCUAGUUUUCAAGAUUUCUUUUAUUGUGCCAUUCUUUUGAGCUUUGUCAUGGUUUUAGCUGUAACUCAUGUACAUUGCUAACUCACUCUCCCCUCUUUCUUCCCCCCGCUCCCGGAGGGAUGAGAAGGAGAAUCGAAAGAAUGCAACUCCCACAGGUUGAGAUAAGAACAGUUCAGUAACUAAGGUAUAACAUAAACCACUACUGCUACCACCAAUAAUAACAAUAAGGGAAAUACAAGGAAAGAGAAUACAACUGCUCACCACCAAUACCCAGCCCGACCCAGCCGCGCAACCCCCUCUUCCGGGUCCCUGCCCUCGUUUUUACAUCCUGGGCAUGAUGUACUGUGGUGUGGAAUACCUCUUUGGUUAAUUUGGGUCAGGUGUCCUGUCUCUGCUUCCUCCCGGCUUCCCCUCCUCCCUGGCAGAGCAUGAGGCUCAGAAAGUCCUCAGUCAGACAAAAUAAUACUGCAACAACUAAAACAUCGGUGUUAUCAGCACUGUUCCCAGGCUGAAAGUCAAAAAUACAGCACUGCACCAGCUACCAAGAAGGAGAAAAAAUGACUGCUACUGCUGAACCCAGGACAGCCUUACUGAAUUCAUGGGAGACAGCUAUAAUGUCAACCUACCUGAGACUUGGUAUUUUGGCUUUCGCUAAUGAUGGUAACAAGUUCAGUUAACACAGGUAAACCUGCAGUGCUCCUGCGAUCAAUGGCUUACCAGGCAGAGAGGGAAGAGAUGGUCCCAAAGCUGACAAAGGAGAACCAGGGGCCAGCUCUCAAAACCAGAAAUCAUGCUUGCAAGAGUUGUCUACUAAUCUGA